rnacentral:rRNA from 1 species
GAUGAACGCUGGCGGCGUGCCUAAUACAUGCAAGUCGAGCGAACAGACGAGGAGCUUGCUCCUCUGACGUUAGCGGCGGACGGGUGAGUAACACGUGGAUAACCUACCUAUAAGACUGGGAUAACUUCGGGAAACCGGAGCUAAUACCGGAUAAUAUAUUGAACCGCAUGGUUCAAUAGUGAAAGACGGUUUUGCUGUCACUUAUAGAUGGAUCCGCGCCGCAUUAGCUAGUUGGUAAGGUAACGGCUUACCAAGGCGACGAUGCGUAGCCGACGUGAGAGGGUGAUCGGCCACACUGGAACGGAGCCACGGUCCAGACUCCUACGGGAGGCCGCAGUAGGGAAUCGUCCGCAAUGGGCGAAAGCUUGACGGAGCAGCGCCGCGUGAGUGAUGAAGGUCUUCGGAUCGUAAAACUCUGUUAUUAGGGAAGAACAAAUGUGUAAGUAACUAUGCACGUCUUGACGGUACCUAAUCAGAAAGCCACGGCUAACUACGUG